rnacentral:lncRNA from 1 species
CAUAUAUAGCCUUUUGGGACAGGAUCUUAUGGACUGAGCGCUCAAUCAACAAGUACUUUAGUCCAAAUUUUUGACCUUAGUGCCAUGUUGCUCACGUACGAUUUUCUGCUAAUACAGCGUGCUCACCUGUUUGCAGCUUUGAAGUUUUUUAAAUUGGAAAGGUACUGAGCACUUCUUAAAAGGUUAAUUGCCUUGUUUUAAGGAACAAGGGAAGUCACCAAAACGAUAAGGCUGGGCUGGACUAUUAACCUAAGAGCACAUAUUCUGGGAGGUGGGGUGGGGGUGGGGCGGCGGAUUCCUGCUUCAGUUGCCAAUCAGGAAAAGCAGUGCAAACCUACGAUGUGUCAAUAACGGAUGUUAUCUUGAUUUGGAGGGAAUUUCCAGCUCGAUUGCUUAAUAUUGGUCGGACUUCUGUAGUUAAGGAUGGCCUCACAUUAGUUUAAUUAAAAGGCUAAAGCGUGCAAGUCUCCGCGCAGGCUGGCAGGGACCUUCAGCACCCAGAGGAGGUCAGCUCCUUGGGUGCCUCGCCAACCCCCGCCCGGCAGGCGAACCCUUUCCUCAUUGGCCACUGCACGGUCGUCUCGGGCACCCAUUGGCCGGCUCUGACGCCCGCCUCUAUAAGAGGCGGGCAGCGCGAGGCUGCGCGCGGACCCAGCUCACAGCUAAGCUGCCCUCGAGGGAACCUUCCCUUAGACACUCCCAAAGAAAAGGGAGUCUCUGAUGCAAAGCCUCUCAGCAUCACAUCUUAUCACCUCCACCCCAACACGGGACUAAGAGCUCCAGUACGAGGUUGCAGCUAACAAAGAGGCAUUGGACCUAGUAGUUCAGAUCCUGUUAAUAGUCGAGGUAAGAGUAAUCCUGCCUCUGGCCAUUUGGUUUACAGAGGUUUAAAAUUAACUCCCCACUGAUGCUCUACUCUAAUUGACUUAGGGCAAAAAGACUAGAGUUGAACUUUCGAACCCAGUGAAAGUUUACACCUGUCAAUUAAUUCUCAAAGAAGGAUGGAAUUCACUUAUUUGGUUUAAAAGUAGAAGUGAGCACAGCUUAAAGUAACUAUACAUGGUUCUGUAAAGCUAUAAUCUGUGACCUAUGAAGUUCACUGGAGUUCAUUUAUAGAUGUAUUAUUGUCAGAUUAUCUUCAGGCAGGGAUGUAUCUUCUAUUACCAUUUUGUUUGCUGGUACCUUUAUUUCCUGAAAUAAUGUUUUUCACAUUUUCAUAUUUUAUUUUUUAUUUCAUCUUUACUUUUAUCCUCAUCCCCUUCCUCCAUUCAUAAAAGAACAUCAAGGUUCUCUGGAGGGUUCUCUUCUUUCACACCAGUCUUUCCAGAAGCUUUUAAUUCUGUCUUCAAAUAGCAUCCAUGCUUUCAAAAUACUUAUUUAAUAGUGCUCUGUGCUUCCUAGAUCAUAGAAAUUUAAGUUACACUGUUACUGAUUAAACUGCUGCUGCUGCUGCUGCUGCUAAGUCGCUUCAGUCGUGUCCAACUCUGUGCGACCCCAUAGACAGCAGCCCACCAGGCUCCCCCAUCCCUGGGAUUCUCAAGGCAAGAACACUGGAGUGGGCUGCCAUUUCCUUCUCCAAUGCAUG